CCUACGGGAGGCAGCAGUGGGGAAUCUUGGGCAAUGGCCGCAAGGCUGACCCAGCGACGCCGCGUGCGGGAGGAAGCCCUUCGGGGUGUAAACCGCUGUCAGAGGGGACGAACCUCCGCUUUCCGAACAGGGAGCGGACUGACGGUACCCUCAGAGGAAGCGCCGGCUAACUCCGUGCCAGCAGCCGCGGUAAGACGGAGGGCGCGAGCGUUGUUCGGAAUUACUGGGCGUAAAGCGCGCGCAGGCGGGUCUGCAAGUCGGAGGUGAAAUCCCGGGGCUCAACUCCGGGGCCGCCCCCGAAACUGCAGGUCUGGGGACCGGUAGAGGCCGGUGGAAUUCCCGGUGUAGCGGUGGAAUGCGUAGAGAUCGGGAAGAACACCCGUGGCGAAGGCGGCCGGCUGGGCCGGGUCCGACGCUGAGGCGCGAAAGCGUGGGGAGCA
rnacentral:rRNA from 1 species